CACGUAGGGGGCAAGCGUUGUCCGGAUUUAUUGGGCGUAAAGAGCUCGUAGGCGGUUCGGUAAGUCGGGUGUGAAACCUCCAGGCUCAACCUGGAGACGCCACCCGAUACUGCUGUGACUCGAGUCCGGUAGGGGAGCGUGGAAUUCCUGGUGUAGCGGUGAAAUGCGCAGAUAUCAGGAGGAACACCAGCGGCGAAAGCGGCUCACUGGACCAUAACUGACGCUGAUGCACGAAAGCUAGGGGAGCAAACAGG
rnacentral:rRNA from 1 species